rnacentral:rRNA from 1 species
UACCAGCUCCCUGAGUGGUAAGGACGAUUAUUUGGCCUAAAGCGUCCGUAGCCGGCUUAUCAAGUCUCUUGUUAAACCCAAUGAUUCAAUCAUUGACCUGCAAGAGAUACUGUUAUGCUAGAGGACGGGAGAGGUCGACGGUAGUCCAGGGGUAGGGGUGAAAUCCUAUAAUCCUUGGAGGACCACCAGUGGCGAAGGCGGUACGACUAGAACGUGCCUGACGGUGAGGGACAAAAGCUGGGGGAGCGAACCGGAUUAGAUACCCGGGUAGUCCCAGCUGUAAACGAUGCGGGCUAGGUGUUGGGGUAGCUACGAGCUACUCCAGUGCCGCAGAGAAGUUGUUAAGCCCGCCGCCUGGGGGAGUACGGCGCAAGGCUAGAAACUUAAAGGAAUUGGGCGGGGGAGCACCACGAAGGGGUGAAGGCUGCGGUUU